rnacentral:hammerhead_ribozyme from 1 species
GUACUGCUAAGGAGUCCCUGAAUAGGACGAAACAGCUGUCCAAGUAC